UACGGGGGGGGUAAGCGUUGUUCGGAAUUACUGGGCGUAAAGGGCUCGUAGGCGGCCAACUAAGUCAUACGUGAAAUCCCCAGGCUCAACCUGGGAACUGCGUCUGAUACUGGAUGGCUUGAAUUCGGGAGAGGGAUGCAGAAUUCCAGGUGUAGCGGUGAAAUGCGUAGAUAUCUGGAGGAACACCGGUGGCGAAGGCGGCAUCCUGGACCGGCAUUGACGCUGAGGCGCGAAAGCCAGGGGAGCAAACGGG
rnacentral:rRNA from 1 species